rnacentral:sRNA from 1 species
GAAUCCAUGCGGUUGGGUGACACUGCCAC